rnacentral:sRNA from 1 species
UUGAAUCCUUCCACUGAUGGUAAACCUC